UCUGUGCACCACAUUCACGGUCAAUUAGCGUCAUUACAACAACAGAGGAUAUCUAUGGGACAGAUAAUUAUGUCUCAAAUAGAGGAAACGUUGAUCAGUAAAGGUUCCUAUUGUGAUAAAGGUUUAGCAAUAAACAACUCCAUUCAAUGUGGUGACAAUGCGGUGGAAUGAGAUAAAUAGCUUUACAUGCCAUGAAUAGUUGUAGCUUACAGUGUUGCACGCCUCCGACAAGUGCCCCACGAGUGCCUUCAGCAGAACCUCUAUUAUAACUUCAAGCUCGCAUGCUUCCAUCAAUAGUUAUUUGUGUUAUUACCACAAGUGAGCAAACUUGUUGUUUGCUGCGAGUAGGUACAGAUGUUGAAUCACGAUCAAUCGAAGGGUUCUGUUGAAUCACUAGCAUAGCGAGUGAUUCCAGAGUGGAAUCUUGAGCGAGCUGCGAAGUGCGAGUCGAGGGAAGACAUAGGUACGCAUAACUUUCACUUCAGUGGUUCAAACAAUGUAGGUUUUACUGUUUAAAAACAGUGAGCAAAAUUUAUUUUUAGCUAUUCACUCAGUAAUGAGGCAAAGUUUGUAUUUAAACUUCCUUGUGGAAAAUAACAAAAUAUUAAUAAUUAACUAAUAACAACCCACCACAGAUAGCUAGCUAGGUACUCUUUGCCCUGCUCUGACGUCAUGGUAGCACGCUGCAGCAUAGAUAUUAUUAUCGUGCUGCAGCUGAAGUAAGUAUUUACCUCUUUUUCAAAACGGACUUCCUAGAACUGGGGCCCGAUUCUCCUAAGUUAAUGAUGUCAAAAUCGAAUCGCAAUAUGAUCGCAAUAGCAGUUUUAACCAUAUCGGGCAUUCUGCUAAUAUAAGACCAGUCGUAUUCCAACGACAUUCGAUUGGUUUGCGAUUGGUCUGCUAUUUUGGUGAUUUUGGUCUAUACGGUAGUUUGCUCUACAAUCAUAUUGCAAUCGUAAAUCAUUUGCAGACAAAAUUAUUCAUUAUUGAAUGAUAGAAAAGGAUAAAAACGUUUAUUUCAAAGAAAAAACAGCGGAAUGCCACAUACGCUUCAAUCAUAAUCGAGUCGGGACUGGAUCGCAGUCGAAUGUGAAUCGUAUGUUGCUUAAGUAAAAUUAGGAGAAUCGGGCCCCAGUUAGCCAUUAAACAUAAUGUUCAAGAUAAAGAAUGUCAAAUGUGAAUAAAUCUACAUAGUUUCUUCGAAAUUGUAUUUGAAUUGACACAAACAAAUAAACACUUGCCUAAAUAAAUACAGUACUUAGUAUUUAUUUACAGCGAAGUAAGUAGGGAAUGUAAUAUUUUUAAACAAUGUGAUAAAAGCAACCUUUUACACUAUAGCUAUGUAUAUACGUAUAGGUACACAAUGUGGUAUGGGUAAUUAGCUAGGUAUCAAUCGAUGUGUCAUCAUCACGACCGAGUCACUCACUAACGCUGAACAAAACAUUACACAUUGUAUGUACUUACUUAAAUAGAAGCAUUUGUCACAUUUACCCGAAACUAAUGCAAAGUAUAUCAAUAAACUGUAAAUAUAGUUAGUUCAUUGUUUGACAAUAAUUAAAUUCAUUGUGAUGUCGGUCACUUGGGUCACGGUGUCACUAAGAAAAUGCGUCAUACUGAAACACUGUUACUGGUACAAUAAAAUCUAAUUAGGUAUUCUGACUGAAACAAUGGACACAUAAUAAGAUUAAGCAAAACACGUGAAUGCGACUUCGGCAGGCAUAUUUUUUUUUUCACGAUCUUCUUAGAUGUAA